GGUUAUUUAGUUUAAGAAAAACUUAUGUUUUGAAAGCAUAUUAUAGAGAUAUUCUCUAAUAGCCG
rnacentral:tRNA from 1 species